UACGUAGGGGUCGAGCGUUGUCCGGAUCGUUACUGGGCGUAAAGCGUGGGUAGGUGGCCAGCUGAUGUGCCGGUGUAGAAAGCGCCGUCGCUUCUCGCGGCGAGGUCGCGGUAGACACAGUGGCUAGAGGCACGGAGAGGGGCGUAGAAUUCCCGGUGUAGUGUGAAAUGCGUAGAUAUCGGGAGGAAUACCAGUGGCGCAAGCGGCGCCCUGGCCGUGACCUGACACUGGAGCCAACGACGGCGUGGGGAGCAAACGGG
rnacentral:rRNA from 1 species